GGAUAACCGUGACAAAUUACAGCUAAUACAUGCAUCAAGACCUCUAUGAGGUUGUAAUUAUUAGUACUAACCAAUUGCUUCGGCAAUGUGAUGAAUCAUAGUAAUCGAACGAAUCGCAGAAUUCUGCGAUAAAUCAUUCAAGUUUCUGCCCUAUCAGCUUUGGAUGGUAGUGUAUUGGACUACCAUGGCAAUCACGGGUAACGGAGAAUUAGGGUUCGAUUCCGGAGAGGGAGCCUGAGAAACGGCUACCACAUCUACGGAAGGCAGCAGGCGCGAAAAUUGCCCAAUCCUGAUUCAGGGAGGCAGUGACAAGAAAUAACAACUUUCUAACUUUUGUUGAAAAGUGUAAUGAGGAUAAUUUACAAACCUUACCGAAAGCAAUUGGAGGGCAAGUCUGGUGCCAGCAGCCGC
rnacentral:rRNA from 1 species